rnacentral:rRNA from 1 species
GACAGAGGGUGCAAACGUUGCUCGGAAUCACUGGGCGUAAAGGGCGUGUAGGCGGGUAGAUAAGUCGGGCGUGAAAUCCCUAGGCUCAACCUAGGAACUGCACUCGAAACUGUUUAUCUUGAGUGCCGGAGAGGAAAGCGGAAUUCCUGGUGUAGAGGUGAAAUUCGUAGAUAUCAGGAGGAACACCAGUGGCGAAGGCGGCUUUCUGGACGGUAACUGACGCAUGA